AGGGAUGUAUCUUAUGUAUAGAACUUUAGGGUUUAUAAGAAGGGACUAGGAACUUGAUACUAUGGAGAAAUAUUAAUCAUGAUCUGACCAUGUAGACAGCAUUCCUAGAGUUCUGAAAAUACUUAUAGGAUUUUAUUUUUGGGGCAGGACCACACCUUAGUUGGACAACAAGAUGCUAGGGUACAACAGGAUAUACAGCUGUCUGGGCUGGGCAUCAUGCCUGAACAUUGUGUGGUAGACAUUGAGAAUGGUGAUGUUUGGCUCACACCUGUAGAAAAUGCCAGAACUUGUGUGAAUGGUUCUGUCAUCACCAAAAAGACCAAAGUGAAGAACGGAGACAGAAUACUCUGG